rnacentral:rRNA from 1 species
AUGGCGCCGAAGCGGAAGCCGGCGGAGCCGCCGAGGGACGCCGAGGGGAUAUUCCGCGGCGUCUCCGCCUUCUUCGUGCCCCACGGCGUGCAGUCCCGCCGCCUCGAGGUGUGGAAGCAGAAGCUGGUGCAGAUGGGGGGCCGGCUCGAGAAGAAGGACGCCGACGCCAAGGGCGCCAGGAUCAACCACGUGCUCGCCGCCGACGCCAAGGCGCUGCUCCGGGAGCUCACCGCCGACUGGCUCCACCGUUUCCAGGGGAGUGUUGUGUCCUUCGAUUGGCUGGAGGAAUGCCUCAAGUCUGGCGAGAGGCUGCCCGAGCACAAGUUCACCAUCAACUACGAAGAGGAAUUUAAACCCAAAAAGGCAGCUGGUGCCGGAGGUACAGGCGCGUCCAAUCCCGCGAAGAGGAGCAAAAUGUCAUCCGAGGAUCCUGAGAAUCACAAAGGAACUGGUGGACAGGGUGUGAAGAAAGAGCUAGCUACCGGAGAGCAUCAAGACGCCAGUACACAUGUGCAUGAUGGUUCUGGUGUCCAAAAGGGGCCUGGCCAGCUUGCACAUAGCCAGACUAGCUCUGGGGAUACCAAGGACACCGUAGGGUCUCUUGAUAUUGAGGAAGCUUCUUCUGGGGAACCCACAACAUAUGCUCCACCAGACCUCAACAGGAACAUCACUGAGAUUUUCGGAAAACUUAUCAACAUAUAUAGAGCCAUGGGAGAUGACCGGAGAUCAUUUAGCUAUUACAAGGCCAUUCCCGUAAUUGAGAAACUGCCAUUCAAAAUAGAAAGUGGCGACCAAGUUAAAAACCUCCCCACCAUUGGGAAAUCUUUGAAAGACCAUAUUAAUGAAAUAGUGACAACAGGGAAGCUUUCCAAACUGGAACACUUUGAGAAUGAUGAAAAGGUACGGACUGUCAGCCUAUUCGGUGAAGUUUGGGGUGUUGGUCCUGCAACUGCUCUUAAGUUAUAUGAUAAAGGACACCGUACUCUUGAUGACCUUCGGAAAGAUGACUCACUUACAUAUGCUCAAAGGACUGGCUUAAAAUUCUUUGAUGAUAUCAGACAAAGAAUCCCUCGGCAUGAGGUCAGUGAGAUGGAGAAGCUUUUGCAAGAUGUUGGGAAGGAUAUCUUGCCUGGAGUGAUAAUUGUAUGCGGAGGAUCAUACAGACGUGGAAAAUCAUCUUGCGGCGACAUGGAUAUUGUAAUUACUCAUGAUGAUGGUAAAAGUCAUGUAGGUUUCCUGCCGAAGUUUGUUCAGAGGCUGAAGGACAUUAAUUUUUUAAGGGAGGAUCUUAUCUUCAGCAUAAACAGUAUUGAGGGAACUGACAGCGGGGUUGACACAUAUUUCGGUCUUUGCACAUAUCCUGGACGUGAGCUGCGGCAUCGCAUUGAUCUCAAGGUAUACCCAAGGAACAGGUAUGCAUCCGGGCUGCUAGCCUGGACUGGAAAUGAUGUUCUAAAUCGACGAUUGAGAAUACUAGCAGAAUCCAAGGGCUACGUGCUUGAUGACACUGGUUUGUAUCUUGCUACACAGAGCAGUGGUGGAAAGCGCGCGGGGAGAUCAGAAGCUAUAGUUAACUGCCACGAGGAGAAGGAUGUGUUCGACACACUCGGGUUCCCGUACUUGGAGCCUCAUGAACGAAAUCUAUAG